UACGUAAAGGUGCCUCUUGCAGAAUUUAACAAAUCUAGCAAAAGAAAAUUCAACAAGGCCAUAGAGAAUGUGAAUAAUUCAAGACCGAUGUAACGUAUAUGUAGAUAUUGCGACCUGUGUAUCAGCCUAUACUCUUGCUACGUCCCAGGAACCUACAAAGAUCAAGCAUCUCUGUUGCCCAAACUAAAAUCCUUAGUAAAGUUACAAAAGAGGGAUUUUCUAAUUUAUAUCCCCUCAUCACGAUCCAGUAAAUAGUAGCAGAUAAUGAAAAGAUUUUCCAAAAGUCUUCACUCACUUGGAAAUUUUUAAACACUCAUGAACAACCCCCAGAUCAGAGAGGAAACUCCGAAAGUGAAUUUGCAAACCAAGCGCCAAAUAAUGCAAAGAGAGACAGCUCACAAAAAAGAGGUUACAGGAAACAGCUCAAGUUGCACAUUGCGUUGAUUAUUGAGCUAUUGUCACCAGACUCCCACCUUUCCUUUCUGUAAUCCGCUUUGUGAGGCUGGGGCUCCUCACUGUCUCUUACAUCAGUUGACCCCUCCUCAGAAAAUGGAUAAACACACUCUGUCUGGUGUAUUCAUACAGUGGGUUCCUAACUCCAAAAUAAAAUGGAAAGAACUAUGGAUUCAUGCAACAACACAGAUUAAUCUAAAAAUCGUUAUACUGACCAAAAAGAGAGGCACACAAAAACCUACCUAAUGCAUGAUUCCAUUUAUAUGAAAUUCUAGAGAGGGAAAAACUAAGCUAUACUGUCAGAAAAUAGAUCAAUUGAUGUUUGGAGGUUCCGAUGUUUUGGACGUGUGGAGGGACUGAGAGCAAAGGGGCAAAAGGGAAUUUUUCGGAUGAUGAAUACUAUUAGAUCUGUAUCUUAAUUACUUUGUUAUGUACUCAAGUGAAUCUAUUGGUCAAAACUUACCAAAUUCUACACUUAAAAUAGCUACAUUUUAUUUUACAUACAUUUUACCUCAAAGACUGGAUUGGAAAAAAAAUGAAGAGUAUAAAGAAUAUCAUCCUAAAGUCCUUGUUUUGCAAGCAGAUUUUGCUACACAGUUGAAAUUGACCAUUAUCAUGGCAGAGAAGGCUAACUCUUCUUUAUAACUGUUAUGAAAAUAUUUAAACACUAAAAAAAUCAUUUGGAAAAGAAUAACACUAAGUCGGGGUGUGGCAGAGAAUGAGAAGACAGCAGAGGGGAGGAACAAGGCAAGAACGAAGCAAUCUUGGGUGCAGAAAAGGCUUGGUGAAUAUGAGGGCGAAGUCACAGGCCCUAUUAGGAGUAAUCUCAACAUCCGCCUGAAGGGAAUUUCGUGGGCUGUGGACCCCAACUCCCGGGACCCAUGUGCCUGGACUGCGGGAAUCUGAUCUAGGCCAGAUCCCCUCUCCCUGGAGCAGGCGGGUCAGCACAGAGAGAGAGCAGCUCAUCCCUUAGAGAGGACCACUGAUGGGAGCUCAGCCCUUAGGGAGGACCACGGAUGGGGAGGCGGCCCUGGCUCCUCCCAGUUGGCAAGUCCUGAUUUGCUCACUGCUGUGAUCCAGCUGUGACUCUGGGUUCAGUCCAUCUCUCCCCUCACAAUCCUUCAGGGAUUCUUCUCGUAAAGGUGAGAUUUGGCUGUUCUGGCCUUCCACAUAAGUGGGGACAUGCAGCAUGCACUGUUUCUGGUGUAAGGCCUCUUCUAAUUAGUAAGAUGCUGUUUCGAUUCAUCUCUAUUGUUGCCCAUUAUCAGGGAUUCUUUCCUGGAUAGCUGAGUAGUAUGAAUACUUCACAAUUUGUUUUUCUAUUCUCUUACGGAUUGGCACCAGAGGUAUUUCCCGGGUAGGUGAAUGUUUAGUUUUAUGAGAAACUGUGACUGUCUUUCAUAGCAGCGGCACCAUUUUAUCUUCUCACUAGAAGCAAGAAGCCUUCCAGGUGCUCCCCAUCCCAGCGAGCAUUUGGAGCUGUCAGACUUGCGAUCUUCACCCUUUCUGGUGGUUGCAUAAUGGUCUCUCUCACUGUGGUUCAAUUUUAAUUUCCCUGAUGGCUAAUGGUGUUGAACAUUUUUUAAAGGGCUUAGUGAACAUUUGUGAAUCGCUUUUUGGAAAGGGAUUGUUUAAAUGUUUUGCCCAUUUUUUAUUGGGUGGUUGGUCAUAUUAUUAUUAUUGUUAUUAUUCUUAUUACUAUUUAUCCUAACGGGAAAAAGAGAUUCAGCAGGAACAGCAAAAGGAGAGUUAGAAUUUGGGCAUCUCGUUUCAUGAUCAAUAUCUCGUGCAGGGAUGGGUAUAGGGGCAGACAGGGUUGGGGGCCUGGCAGGCAGGUCAGCCAAGUCAGUGUCCAGUAAUAAGGCAGGAGCUGGGAUGUGCAAGGUGCAAGUGGCAGGGGUCUCUGCAGUGCUGCAGCAGGCAGGAAGGAAGAACAGGCAGGCUGAUUGGCACUGCAGUCUGAAGUGGCCUCAGUUUUAUCCUCCAACACCUCGUGGUUCCGUUGGAGCUCAGCUUUCUCCUCCAAGCCUAGGUCCUCACCAAUGACUACGCAAGGAACCCAGGAGAUGGAGGCAGCUUUUCUCCUCCCAAAACACUAGCAGUGGCGGCAGCAAGGGGCGCAGACAUUUUCGUUUACAGAGCCUACAACUGGCAGAUGGCUUCGGAAAGUUCCUUCUUGACGGAGUAUCUGAAGCUUUGUUCCCUGUGUCCCCUCUGACUUCAGUGAGGCUGGAGAGCUGGGUGGAUGGCCUUCGUCCAGCUUUUGCUUUGUCCACCUCUUUGGCAGCAGGGGUAGGUUGAGAAUGGGCCACACAGCCCCCUACAUUCAGGUCAGUCCUCCACAGAGAGGGGCGGCCUCCAGGAGGGCUUUAAGAGCUGGGGAUGACAUGGCCUUUGGUGAAUGUGUAACAGCUAGAUCUUAAGUCAGCAUGAGGGCAGCCAGCUUAGGGAAAGGAAGCAAUAUUGAAUUACAGCCCUGCCUCACUAGUCUCUGUGAAUAUGUUCUCGCCUGCAUGUAGCCUAGGUGAUUAAGCACCUCUCACUUUUGCAGAAUACAUGAUCUGAUAGUUCUAUGACUCUUGCUUAUGUCUAUUUCCCAGCCGUGGUAAGACAAUAACUGUUCUCUGAGUUCCUCAGGAACAUGACGACUUCCAGGAAGAAAAAUCCUGCAUUGGUACCCAUCACAAAUGACAGAAGAAAGAAAGAAUGUGGCGCCUUGAAGUUCGUCACACGGGAUGGUCAACACCCACAAACCCCCUCCUUCACUGUCGGUUUCCCCUAUAUAACUGCCUCAAGAUUCUGUAUGAUUUGAGCAUGCUUCUUCAGGACACCAGUCCACCAUCUUCCGAUUAUGCUUAGCUAAUCAGAUAAAUUCUUUCCUCAACCACUGGCUUAUUUGCAAUUGAUUGGCACCAGGCUGCAUCGAGCAGGAGCCCCUUUUUGCUCGGUUAUAAAUGGGCUCAGAAGAUGUUUUCACUUUCUUAUUCAAGGUGUCUCCUGGGAGCUGGGAAUGGAGGUUUCCCUUGGAGGCCCAGGACUGCGCCGGAAGGAAGUGAGGGCCGCACCACCCCUGCGGGGUCCAGGGCCCUACCUGCUGAAGGCCCCCUCUCACUGCUAUGGGGGCCAGCGAGGAGCACUUCUCUGACGGUCCAUCCUGUGCUAUUUUUCUCCUCUUCUCUGCUCUUCCUUUUGUAGGAUCUUCAGGUGUGUCCCCUUUAGGCAAAGAUCUAGUGGCGACGGGAUGGCCCAGGCCUCGGAGAGGAGGCUGCCUGCUCAAGCGCCAAACGGAAGAGAGUCAUUUUGCAUCCUGGAGGAGGAAUUGUGCCCGUUCCUGAGGAGAGGAGCAACUUGGAAGAGCAAGCAGACAGCAAUGGCUUCUGAGACCCGAAGGUCAGACACACACACACCGCACCAAGGCAAGGACUCACAGAGAGGAGCACUGGGCCUGCCAGACCAGACCUUAGCUUAGCCUCUUAGCCGCAGUGUAAAAUAGGGGCGAUAAGGACCCGCGACUGCAGUAAACAGCCCGAACCAGGCCGGGAGGGUUAUUUAGACCAGACAGGAACGGAGCGGGGCGGGCGGGUGCGAGGCUUGUUGAGGAACGUGCCCCCGAGGAGCAGUUUGCGCGCUGUGGGAUCCUUGGAGAGGACUGGGACCCUCGGGGAGGUCUCCUGGCUGCCAGCUCUCCGCGCUAGGCACACACCGUCCAGCCGGCUGUGGUGAGACACCGUUGGAACGGGUGACAGAGACAGGGCGCGCGAGCCUAGGGCAGGAGGAAGUAGCGACAAAGGGCAAAGGGAGAGGUCCAACGGCCCAACCCCAGGUGGCCUCGACCUCCCCGGGACUCCGCGCAGAUGUGAAGUAUUGCGGGGGCUCACCCUCAUAUGUGCCCCCCACAAUGUAGGGACUCUUUGGGUCUGCGGCUGCUCGACCCUGCAGCGCCUGGCCCGGGGACAGUAGCUUCUGCGAUCAGUGUCCAAGCAUCCUGCAGCUACUUCCCCGGGGUCACCGGAGGGAAGAACCUGCUCAGAGUCAGAGGAGCAGCCCAGCUCCAGUGGAACUUCCCAAGCCAGUGUAUCGGCCUCUGACCAGCCUCAUCUUAACCCAUCUCCUAUGGCAUGUACAAAAGGACCUUGAGGUGUGGGGCCUCUGCUUGCUAUAGGAAGAAAAAGAGGUUAAGUUUGUGUGACGUAACUGGAAUGGGCUGAGCCUCUUCCUAGCGGAGUGAAGUUCACUCGUGGGAGACACUGGCCAUCUGCCACCAUGUCUAGAGGAAACUUUUGCAUCUGGGCCGUUGAGUUCCUGCCUCUUUCACUAGAAGAAAAUGAAUGAACUGGCGAUUUACCACUUGCAUCUGGGCAGGUGAGGAGAGUGCCUUAAAAAAGAGGCUGCUGUUGGCCAGGUCCACCACAGAGGCAGUUACUCUAACCAGAGGCAGGAGCAAAGUGUGCCUGAAUCGCAGGUAUUUUCUCAGUGGAUUUGGCUCCUACAAAGCCAGCAGGCGGUAUCCUGGCUGGCUAGGCCCCAGGUGUCUGACUGAAGGCUAGAACAGAAGUAUCUUCCUAAAAACGUACAGUGUCCCUUCUGGCUCUGGCCACAAACACCCCAGGUGCUCCGAAUGAUGGUGGGAACAGAAAUAGCCCCAAACACAGGAAUGGUGCCGUCUCCUCCCACUGCACCUGGCAGUGCACCAGUGCCCUGGACUGGAAGGUCCCUCGUGCUCUGACUGGAUUCACAGGGGACUUAGCACCAUGGGCACCUACAACGAGCACACGCACUGCCUACUAGCAGGUCUGGAUUGGUUCAACUCCUAAGGCACCCACAGGCCACGCUGGGCUCCGGUAUCCUCGGAAUCUUCUGGGAGCUCUGGAAAGGAGGACACAGCACCAAUUGUCAGCAUCACCCCUUCAGGCAUUUCUUCACUAAGGGAGCCAUGCAGCAAACCACACAGCUGUCUGUGAGCUUUCUUCCCCCAGGUGCAGGAUCCACCCUGGCUGAAAAGUCUUAUGUCCCAAGGACACCAGCGUAUGUUGUAAUAAUUCCAUGGAUCCACUUUAAGGACCCUGAUCGAAAUUAACAACUUUCCAAUCUUAAAUUUUCCAUUCCAUCAAAAUGGUACAUAUUUCCUUAUAUUUAGGACUUUCAGAUUUUCUCUCAGAAAACACUUUGCUGUAGGGAUUGACAAUUAACAGCCCAUGGGCCAAGAUUGUGCCGCAGCCUGUUUUUGUAAAGCCAAUGAGCUGAGGAUGGUGUUAACAACUAUUAAAGUUUGUUAAAAAAAAAAAAAAAAGAAAGAAAAGGAAAAAGAAGAAAAAGAAAAAUGGAGAAUAUGCAACAAGACCAUAUGUAACCUGCAAAGUCUGUGUUAUUUAUUAUCUGGCCCUUUACAGAAAAAUUUGCCAACACCUCUUUUGUAGUUGUAGUGGUGUUAGACAACACUUGCUAAUCUAUUCCUAAAUUUCUUCUAUGCUAUCACAAAUGGUACCUUUUAAAUUUUAGUUUUCAAUUAUUCAUUGGUAGAAAAUACAACUGAUUUUUAUAUGUUAACCUUGUAUGCUGGAUUUUGUCAUUUUUGUAGUGAAGUGUUUAAGCACACUUUAUAUAAAGAUAUUUCUAACAAUCUAUUUUCAAGAUUCAUUCAGCAAGUGUUAUUUUAGUGAAUGGAAGUAAUACCCAUUCUGUAGAACUUGUAGUAAUUAUUUCUAGUAUUUUCUUUGUAGAUUCCUUAGGAUUUUCUAAACACACAAUCAUGUUUUCAACGAAUAAAGAUAGUUUUACUUCCUUUUUA